ACCAAGGAGUCGUCUUCGUAUGCGAGUGUUCGGGUGUCAAACCCCUACGCGUAAUGAAAGUGAACGCAGGUGAGAGCUUCGGCGCAUCAUCGACCGAUCCUGAUGUUCUCGGAUGGAUUUGAGUAAGAGCAUACGGGGCCGGACCCGAAAGAAGGUGAACUAUGCCUGUAUAGGGUGAAGCCAGAGGAAACUCUGGUGGAGGCUCGCAGCGGUUCUGACGUGCAAAUCGAUCGUCAAAUAUGGGCAUGGGGGCGAAAGACUAAUCGAACCUUCUAGUAGCUGGUUUCCGCCGAAGUUUCCCUCAGGAUAGCAGUGUUGAACUCAGUUUUAUGAGGUAAAGCGAAUGAUUAGGGACUCGGGGGCGCUAUUUAGCCUUCAUCCAUUCUCAAACUUUAAAUAUGUAAGAAGCUCUUGUUGCUUAAUUGAACGUGAGCAUUCGAAUGUAUCAACACUAGUGGGCCAUUUUUGGUAAGCAGAACUGGCGAUGCGGGAUGAACCGAACGCGAGGUUAAGGUGCCAGAGUAGACGCUCAUCAGACACCACAAAAGGUGUUAGUACAUCUUGACAGCAGGACGGUGGCCAUGGAAGUCGGAAUCCGCUAAGGACUGUGUAACAACUCACCUGCCGAAUGUACUAGCCCUGAAAAUGGAUGGCGCUCAAGCGUCUCACCCAUACCUCGCCCUCAGGGUAGAAACGAUGCCCUGAGGAGUAGGCGGACGUGGAGGUCAGUGACGAAGCCUAGGGCGUGAGCCCGGGUUGAACGGCCUCUAGUGCAGAUCUUGGU
rfam:Fusarium oxysporum f. sp. lycopersici 4287 chromosome 2, whole genome shotgun sequence.